ACAUUUGAAAUUGGCACGCGUUCGAUACCUGCCGCUAGCAUCCACAUAUAUUCUUUUUUACAUGUUAUUUCACUUAGCUUCACAUGUUUACAUGUUAAUUUGAAAUUGGCACGCGUUCGAUACCUGCCGCUAGCAUCCACAUAUAUUCUUUUUUACAUGUUAUUUCACUUAGCUUCACAUGUUUACAUGUUCCAUUCAUCUUUUUUUUUUAUUUCUUUCCACAUAAAAAAAUCAUAAAUCAAAAAAUAUAAAUCCGAAUUGCAUGAUUCUUUUUUUGAAUUGUUCAUCAUGUUGUGUACUUUUUU
rnacentral:lncRNA from 1 species